AUUGAACGCUGGCGGCAGGCCUAAUACAUGCAAGUCGAGCGAGCGGCGGACGGGUGAGUAAUGUAUGGGGACUGCCCGAAAGAGGGCGAUAACUACUGGAAACGGUAGCUAAUACCGCAUACUAUCGGAUAACCCAUAUGGGAUUAGCUAGUAGGUGAGGUAAUGGCUCACCUAGGCGACGAUCCCUAGCUGAUGUGAGAGGAUGAUCAGCCACACUGGGACUGAGACACGGCCCAGACUCCUACGGAGGCAGCAGUGGGGAAUAUUGCGCAAUGGGCGCAAGCCUGAUGCAGCCAUGCCGCGUGUGUGAAGAAGGCCCUAGGGUUGUAAAGCACUUUCAGUCGGGAGGCGUUACCGACAGAGGAAGCCACGGCUAACUCCGUGCCAGCAGCCGCGGUAAUAC
rnacentral:rRNA from 1 species